GGAGGAUUCGCCUAGUGGCCUAGGGCGCACGCUUGGAAAGCGUGUUGCGUGCAAGCGCUCGCGAGUUCGAAUCUCGCAUCCUCCGCCA
rnacentral:tRNA from 14 species